AUACGUAGGUGGCGAGCGUUGUCCGGUAUUACUGGGCGUAAAGGAUGCGUAGGUGGAUACUUAAGUGGGAUGUGAAAUCCCCGGGCUCAACCCGGGAACUGCAUUCCAAACUGGGUAUCUAGAGUGCAGGAGAGGAAAGCGGAAUUCCUAGUGUAGCGGUGAAAUGCGUAGAUAUUAGGAGGAACACCAGUGGCGAAGGCGGCUUUCUGGACUGUAACUGACACUGAGGCAUGAAAGCGUGGGUAGCAAACAGGAUUAGAUACCCUGGUAGUCCACGCCGUAAACGAUGGGUACUAGGUGUAGGAGGUAUCGACCCCUUCUGUGCCGUCGUUAACACAAUAAGUACCCCGCCUGGGGAGUACGGUCGCAAGACUAAAACUCAAAUGAAUUGACGGGG
rnacentral:rRNA from 1 species